GCUCUGUAAAAACCAAAAUAAAUAAAUAAUAAUAAUGCAUGCUAACACAGAAAACCAUAGAAUAGUGUUACUGGAUUCCUCAAGAGAAGUAUAUUUCUGUUUUGUUAUUUUGAGAGACGAAUCAUGCAUUUAAAAACAACUUGUACUAAUUCCUUUUUGGAGACCAUCUUCGCUUAUUUUGUCCAAUCUGCAGGUAUUCUCCCAACACCGGUGGGGGUAAGAGGGGCAGGGGGAGUCUGAACUCAUCCUGUCUCUCAGCAACACAACAGAGGAAUGAAAUGCACAUCUGUAGAUAAAUGCAUCGUUACAUUCUCAUCGGUCUGUAAGCUUCCCUUGCUGAUGGCUAAAAUCAUUCCAAAGGAAACUAAAGAAGCGUUUGCUUCCACGCCGAAUACAGGUGGGGACGGAAUCAUCUCCAUGAACACUUCUGCGGUUGCUGGAAACGUCUUUCACAGCGGUCGGGACGAGAAACUGUUUACGUUCCCUUGCCCAGUGCACCGGCGAACACGGCUAAAUGGAAUCCAAGUUCUCAAAAUGGCUUGUCAUCUUAGGAGAAGAAGGAAGGCGCGUUUAAGAGGACACUUGGAGGAAGAAGUGUUUCCAAAAGAAGUUAUGGCGACACAAUAUGGUAAGCAAAAAAUGUUUGCUGUGUCCUACACUCAGCUGGAACAACUCCUGUUUGGAGAUAUUUCACAAAAUGAUUUCACAGGC
rnacentral:lncRNA from 1 species